CAGGAGCCUGCCGCGCUGCCCCUCGCUGCUGUCCCUGGAGCUCUCGGCCAACCCCGCCCUGGGGCCCGGAACCUUCCGGAAGCUCCUGGAGGGGCUGGAGCGGCGCCCGCGGGGCCUGGAGCGCCUCGGCCUGGCAGGAUGCGGCGUCGGGGACCUGGACGAGGCCGCCUGGAGCCGGAGCCGGGAAAAAAUCCGGGAGCUGCGGCUGCCGGGGAGGCGCCGCCGCAAGGAGCCCUGAGCCAGACCGGUCUGGACUGGUUUGGACUGGUCUGGACUGGUCUGGACCGGUCUGGUCUGGUCUGGACCGGUUUGGGCUGGUCUGGACUGGUUUGGACUGGUCUGAACUGGGAGGUUCCCAGUUGGAUCCAAUAAAUCCCAAUUUGAUCCCGGA